rnacentral:rRNA from 1 species
CCUACGGGCGGCUGCAGUGAGGAAUAUUGGUCAAUGGGCGCGAGCCUGAACCAGCCAAGUCGCGUGAAGGAUGACUGCCCUACGGGUUGUAAACUUCUUUUAUCAAGGAAUAAAGUGAGGCACGUGUGCCUUUUUGUAGGUACUUUAUGAAUAAGGAUCGGCUAAUUCCGUGCCAGCAGCCGCGGUAAUACGGAGGAUCCGAGAGUUAUCCGGAUUUAGUGGGUUUAAAGGGAGCGGAGAUGGGUUGUUAAGUCAGUUGUGAAAGUUUGCGGCUCAACCGUAAAAUUGCAAUUGAUACUGGCAGCCGUGAGUACAGGUGAGGUAGGCGGAAUGCGUGGUGUAGCGGUGAAAUGCUUAGAUAUCACGCAGAACUCCGAUUGCGAAGGCAGCCUACUAAACUGCCACUGACAUUGAUGCUCGAAAGUGUGGGUAUCAAACAGGAUUAGAUACCCCUGUAGUC